rnacentral:rRNA from 1 species
GGGACACGUGGUAUCCUGUCUGAAUAUGGGGGGACCAUCCUCCAAGGCUAAAUACUCCUGACUGACCGAUAGUGAACCAGUACCGUGAGGGAAAGGCGAAAAGAACCCCGGCGAGGGGAGUGAAAAAGAACCUGAAACCGUGUACGUACAAGCAGUGGGAGCACCUUCGGGUGUGACUGCGUACCUUUUGUAUAAUGGGUCAGCGACUUAUAUUCUGUAGCAAGGUUAACCGUAUAGGGGAGCCGCAGGGAAACCGAGUCUUAACUGGGCGUUAAGUUGCAGGGUAUAGACCCGAAACCCGGUGAUCUAGCCAUGGGCAGGUUGAAGGUUGGGUAACACUAACUGGAGGACCGAACCGACUAAUGUUGAAAAAUUAGCGGAUGACUUGUGGCUGGGGGUGAAAGGCCAAUCAAACCGGGAGAUAGCUGGUUCUCCCCGAAAGCUAUUUAGGUAGCGCCUCGUGAACUC